GACGAACGCUGGCGGCGUGCUUAACACAUGCAAGUCGAGCGAGAAAGCCCCUUCGGGGGUGAGUACAGCGGCGAACGGGUGAGUAACACGUGGGUAACCUGCCCCGGGGAGCGGGACAACUCGAGGAAACUCGGGCUAAUACCGCAUAACGCGCUGCGCCUCAAGGCGCAGCGGCAAAUGGUAGCUUCGGCCUCCGCCCCAGGAUGGGCCCGCGUCGCAUUAGCUUGUUGGUGAGGUAACGGCUCACCAAGGCGACGAUGCGUAGCUGGUCUGAGAGGACGGAUCAGCCACACUGGGACUGAGACACGGCCCAGACUCCUACGGGGAGGCAGCAGUGGGGAAUCUUGCGCAAUGGGCGGAAGCCUGACGCAGCAACGCCGCGUGAGGGAAGACGGCCU
rnacentral:rRNA from 1 species